AUAAGCGGAGGAAAAGCCGUCUUGAAACACGGACCCUGCAUAUCAAUAAGCGGAGGAAAAGAAACCAACAGGGAUUGCCCCAGUAGCGGCGAGUGAAGCGGCCAGAGCUCAGAUUUGAAAUCGUGUUUCGGCACGAGUUGUAGAGUGUAGGCGGGAGUCUCUGUGGAGCGCGGUGUCCAAGUCCCUUGGAACAGGGUGCCUGAGAGGGUGAGAGCCCCGUAGGGUGCUGCGCGAAGCUUUUGAGGCCCUGCUGACGAGUCGAGUUGUUUGGGAAUGCAGCUCCAAGCGGGUGGUAAAUUCCAUCUAAGGCUAAAUAUUGGCGAGAGACCGAUAGCGAACAAGUACUGUGAAGGAAAGAUGAAAAGCACUUUGAAAAGAGAGUGAAACAGCACGUGAAAUUGUUGAAAGGGAAGGGUAUUGGGCUCGACAUGGGGGGUGCGCACCGCUGUCUCUUGUAGGCGGCGCUCUGGGCGCCCUCUGGGCCAGCAUCGGUUCCUGCUGCGGGAGAAGGGGCUCCGGAAAGUGGCUCUUCGGAGUGUUAUAGCCGGGGCCAGAUGCCGCGUGUGGGGACCGAGGACUGCGGCUUCUGUCUCGGAUGCUGGCAUAACGGCGCAAUACCGCCCGUCUU
rnacentral:rRNA from 1 species